rnacentral:rRNA from 1 species
AGCGAACGCUGGCGGCAGGCCUAACACAUGCAAGUCGAACGAAGUCUUCGGACUUAGUGGCGGACGGGUGAGUAACACGUGGGAACGUGCCUUUAGGUUCGGAAUAACUCAGGGAAACUUGUGCUAAUACCGAAUGUGCCCUUCGGGGGAAAGAUUUAUCGCCUUUAGAGCGGCCCGCGUCUGAUUAGCUAGUUGGUGGGGUAAUGGCCCACCAAGGCUACGAUCAGUAGCUGGUCUGAGAGGAUGACCAGCCACAUUGGGACUGAGACACGGCCCAAACUCCUCCGGGAGGCAGCAGUGGGGAAUCUUGCGCAAUGGGCGAAAGCCUGACGCAGCCAUGCCGCGUGGAUGAUGAAGGUCUUAGGAUUGUAAAAUCCUUUCACCGGUGAAGAUAAUGACUGUAGCCGGAGAAGAAGCCCCGGCUAACUACGUGCCAGCCGCCGCGGUAACAC